GGAUCGUGGUGGCUGCGCUUGCGAGGACCCUGAGGUAGAUUGGGUGGUUUCAACAGGAACGCAUCCACUGUCUGAGAGUUUAAACUUGAUUUUGUGAGGGGACGAACAGCGUGACAAUUAAAAGAAGAUCUGGGAAUCAAAAGCUUCCUGAGGCCUUCACCAGAAGCAGAUGCUGGUGCCGUGCUUCUACAGCCUGCAGAACUGAAUACCCAUCUCGAGUUCUGGAUAUGUGCUCUGAGAAGGUGCCCAUGUCACCGACCACACUGGAGGCCAAUGCAGAUACUGGGGGAAGGUUCCAUGGUAGCUAAGUGUGGACAAGCUAAUCACUGAAGUUCCCUGAUGCAGAGUUGAUAAUCUCUCUAGAGUUGGAUGAAAGACUGUGCUGCCUUGAAGCUCUGAGAGAUGCCAUGCCAAUUCAAGGCAGGGUCUUUAUUGUUGAAACUCUUGCGUAAUGACAUCUUUAUUCAGGUGAAAAUACAGGAUGAAUUUCAACUAUAUGAUAUUGUUUAUGUUCCUCAGACAUGUUAUUUGUCUUUACAAAGAUUGGUUUCAAUAAACUGUGUGACUGAUAUUAAAUAAACAUGGAAUUUUACACAUUCA
rnacentral:lncRNA from 1 species